rnacentral:lncRNA from 1 species
AUGAUGCUUCCCAGAGAACGAGAGAGGCUCUUUCAUCCGGAAGAGGAUAUGAAAAGGGAGUUUACGAAGUGCUACGAAACAGUGCUGAAGCCGCAGCCGACGGACCCACCUUGCAGGCUGGAUGCAGUUUCCACCAGUGAAGAUACCAAACACCACCCUCAGGGGCAGAGCAAACACAGCUGUCACACUGGGCCAGCUCAGGUUUUGUCAUCUAUAAGCAAAAGUUUGCCUCAGAUCUGUUAAAUGUCACUUAGACAUUGAAGUCAGAUAUCUGAGUUCUCGGUCUUUUUCUGUGGAGGCUCACCCACUAUGAAACACUUUUUGUUAUUCGCAUUGUUUAGUGACUUCAAAAUUCCAAGUAGCUUCUUAGGCUUCCUGAUAUACAUUGAGCAUGGGGAUGGACGAUUUGGAAAGAGAAUCAGAAAGCUGAGAUGUGAGCAUUACCCUGAGGUUUGCCUGGAACUACUGUGGACCUCAAAGGGACUGUACCAGGUUCUUCCUGAGUGAACAGACACACAUACAGGUCUCUAGUGCUUUGGGUCUAGAAUACACAGCUUGUAUUGUAUUAUCUUUUUUUAGGAAUUAUUUUAUUUAUUUGAAAGGCAGAGUUACAGAGAGAGGUGGCGGGGGGUGUCUUCCAUCUGUUGGUUCACUCCCCAGAUGGCCAUAAUGGCCGGAGUUGCACCAAUCUGAAGCCAAGAACCAGGAGCUUCUUCCCAGUCUCCCACAUGGGUGCAGGAGCCCAAGGACUUGGGCCAUCCUCUAUUGCUUUCCCAGGCCGUAGCAGAGAGCUGGAUAGGAAGAAGAGCAGCCGGGACUAGAACCGGCGCCCAUAUGGGAUGCCCAUGCUUUAGGCCAGGGCUUUAAUCCGCUGCGCCACAACCCUGGCCCUUUGUAUUGUAUUAUCUAUGACUGCUGUUGGUAAUGUUGGCCUUGUUUUAUACAGUUUACCCCUUUUCUAUUUUCUAGAAAACACUGUGUAGAACUGUUAACUUCCUGGAAUAUUUUAUUUAUUUAAAUAUUUCUCCAAUGAUUCCAUCUGGACCUGGAGUUUUCUCUUAAAAGACUUCUCACAUUCAAUUUCUUUUAAGAGAGUUUUCUGUUUGGAAGAUUCUACACAAUUUCUUUAAUAGAUAUGACUAUCCAAUGUUCAGUAUCUUUAUGAAUGUAUUCCUUGUAGUUCUUUCAGGGAACUAAGUAUGAUGUUUUACAUAAAAUAUUGAAAUUUUAAGCAUAGUUUUUU